GACGAACGCUGGCGGCGUGCUUAACACAUGCAAGUCGAACGGAAAGGCCCUGCUUUUGUGGGGUGCUCGAGUGGCGAACGGGUGAGUAACACGUGAGUAACCUGCCCUUGACUUUGGGAUAACUUCAGGAAACUGGGGCUAAUACCGGAUAGGAGCUCCUGCUGCAUGGUGGGGGUUGGAAAGUUUCGGCGGUUGGGGAUGGACUCGCGGCUUAUCAGCUUGUUGGUGGGGUAGUGGCUUACCAAGGCUUUGACGGGUAGCCGGCCUGAGAGGGUGACCGGCCACGUUGGGACUGAGAUACGGCCCAGACUCCUACGGGAGGCAGCAGUGGGGAAUAUUGCACUAUGGGCGGAAGCCUGAUGCAGCAACGCCGCGUGCGGGAUGACGGCCUUCGGGUUGUAAACCGCUUUCGCCUGUGACGAAGCGUGAGUGACGGUAAUGGGUAAAGAAGCACCGGCUAACUACGUG
rnacentral:rRNA from 1 species